rnacentral:rRNA from 1 species
UACAGAGGUCUCAAGCGUUGUUCGGAUUCAUUGGGCGUAAAGGGUGCGUAGGCGGCGCGGUAAGUCGGGUGUGAAAUCUUGGAGCUUAACUCCGAAACUGCAUUCGAUACUGCCGUGCUUGAGGACUGGAGAGGAGACUGGAGUUUACGGUGUAGCGGUGAAAUGCGUAGAUAUCGUAAGGAAGACCAGUGGCGAAGGCGGGUCUCUGGACAGUUCCUGACGCUGAGGCACGAAGGUCAGGGGAGCAAACGGG